rnacentral:rRNA from 1 species
UACGUAGGCAGCGAGCGUUGUUCGGAGUUACUGGGCGUAAAGGGUGUGUAGGCGGUUGAUUAAGUUUGGUGUGAAAUCUCCCGGCUCAACUGGGAGGGUGCGCCGAAUACUGAAUGACUUGGAGUGCGGGAGAGGUGAGUGGAAUUCCUGGUGUAGCGGUGAAAUGCGUAGAUAUCAGGAGGAACACCGGUGGUGUAGACGGCUCACUGGACCGUAACUGACGCUGAGACACGAAAGCGUGGGUAGCAAACAGG